GAUGAACGCUGGCGGCGUGCCUAAUACAUGCAAGUCGAGCGAACAGACGAGGAGCUUGCUCCUCUGACGUUAGCGGCGGACGGGUGAGUAACACGUGGAUAACCUACCUAUAAGACUGGGAUAACUUCGGGAAACCGGAGCUAAUACCGGAUAAUAUAUUGAACCGCAUGGUUCAAUAGUGAAAGACGGUUUUGCUGUCACUUAUAGAUGGAUCCGCGCCGCAUUAGCUAGUUGGUAAGGUAACGGCUUACCAAGGCAACGAUGCGUAGCCGACCUGAGAGGGUGAUCGGCCACACUGGAACUGAGACACGGUCCAGACUCCUACGGGAGGCAGCAGAAGGGAAUCUUCCGCAAUGGGCGAAAGCCUGACGGAGCAACGCCGCGUGAGUGAUGAAGGUCUUCGGAUCGUAAAACUCUGUUAUUAGGGAAGAACAAAUGUGUAAGUAACUAUGCACGUCUUGACGGUACCUACUCAGAAAGCCACGGCUAACUACGUG
rnacentral:rRNA from 1 species